rnacentral:tRNA from 1 species
GGAGCUCAGCGCUAGAGUGCUUGCUUAGCAUACAAGAAGCCCUGGGUUCAACCCCCAGUAUUUCCA